UGAGGUAGCUAAGAGCGCCUUGAACAGUUCCAAACACGUCGAAGCCGACUUGCUGGUUUCCGCCUACCGUGCCAUCGGUCCAGUCCAGAACAUCAAUAGUCCAGACCCUGUUCUCGAUUCCAUCGGUGAAUGUUAUGCUAGGGUAGCCAUUGACAUAAGCGUUGUCUGUGCUCAUCAUGGUGCUACCGUGGGUAUCCUUGACAGACAAGGUGAUUCGGGCGGAUUGUGUUCUUCGGUCUUGCUCUACUAGCGAGAAGAAUGCAUCAUUAGACACCGAAGUCUGAAGAACCUCGAUUCUAAUCUGCGCAGAAAGGUCUCUAUUGAAGACCCGGGUGUGGUGCCCUCUGAUUCCUCGAACCAUUGUGUAGGGUCUCGAAAGCCAAGACAUUUCGAAAGAAACUACACCAGUGAGAGCAUACCCACAAAGGACAAUUUUAACAUCAGAUGGGCUAUAUGUCAAUACCGUGUUAGCCAUUAGAAGCCUCCGAAUUGCGUAAGGGCUGGCAGAAGAGAGCUUCCCAGCAGGAUAGCUUGCUCGACCAAACUUUGAUCGACGUUUCCGCCAAUGUUCAUGGCGACCUCAGAGCACCCUAGAAUCCAAGUGCGGGUCUCCAGUUGUCC
rnacentral:sRNA from 1 species